rnacentral:rRNA from 1 species
CCUACGGGUGGCUGCAGUGGGGAAUAUUGGACAAUGGGGGCAACCCUGAUCCAGCCAUGCCGCGUGUGUGAAGAAGGCCCUCGGGUUGUAAAGCACUUUCAGUGAGGAAGAACGCCUGGUGGUUAAUACCCAUCAGGAAAGACAUCACUCACAGAAGAAGCACCGGCUAACUCCGUCCCAGCAGCCGCGGUAAUACGGAGGGUGCGAGCGUUAAUCGGAAUUACUGGGCGUAAAGCGCGCGUAGGUGGCUUGAUAAGCCGGUUGUGAAAGCCCCGGGCUCAACCUGGGAACGGCAUCCGGAACUGUCAAGCUAGAGUGCAGGAGAGGAAGGUAGAAUUCCCGGUGUAGCGGUGAAAUGCGUAGAGAUCGGGAGGAAUACCAGUGGCGAAGGCGGCCUUCUGGACUGACACUGACACUGAGGUGCGAAAGCGUGGGUAGCAAACAGGAUUAGAUACCCUGGUAGUC